GUGGGGAAGAGAUAUGCUGUCUGGCUGCUACAGUAACUUCCAGUGUCUGGGCGGUAGCAUCCGGCAGUGUCUCCUACUAAACCUCUCUCUCCCGGAGCCUUGAGCCACGGCCCUAAAACUACGCCCUUCGUCCCUCGGCCCCUCAGCACGGACUACCCAGGGGCCUCUUUUCUAACACCCCAUUUAGAGCCUACUGAGAAGGGAUUACAACAUUAGUCUGUUAGGGACAGCGUUUCCUGUAGUUACAGCUGAGACAUUUGGAAGUUUAUUCUUUGGAGGAGGAAGUAUGAUCUCUUGUUCGUUGGAGUAGGAUCUCUGGUGGCAGAACUUUUCUUGGAUUUGAUUUUUGUAUUUGUAUUUUUAUUUGAAGAAAGAAGUUGAACACCUGGUUUCUCCUCUUCUUUCCCCGUGGACGUGUUUAUUGGAGGUAGAGAAGCGAGGAGGGAGCAGCAUGGAGGAGUGAAGCAGACGGAGAUGCUGUCCGAGGGGUCGUCAGCAACCGUUGUGAUGCGCUGUCGGAACGCCGGCGGUUGGAACGUUGGCGUUGGUGCCGGGAUGACACGCAUCACCACCCUGUGGAUUAUCUGGGCCAGCUGGCUCUGCUUGACGGCCAACGGACAGAUGAAGAUACCGCCGGAAACGGUUCAGCAAUGGGCCGUCUCUUAUGGAAAACAAAUCAUUGCUCUUUCAACAAAAUACUCUGGUGCUCUGCUGCUCCAAA